CUACGGGUUGCUGCAGUUGCGAAUAUUCUGCAAUGCGCGAAAGCGUGACAGAGUGAACCAAAGUGCUUUUCACAUGAAAAGCUUUUCUUUGUUUUAAAAAGACAGAGGAAUAAGGACUGGGUAAGAUCGGUGCCAGCCGCCGCGGUAAUCCCGACAGUCCAAGUUGCAGCCAGCAUUAUUGGGUCUAAAACAUCCGUAGCUUGCUUUACAAGUCUCUUGUGAAAUUUCAUAUCUCAAAUAUGAAGCGUGCAAGAGAUACUGUUCUGCUAGAGACCGGUAGAUGUAAGGAGUACACCUGAGGUAGUAGUAAAAUACGUUAAUCUUAGGCGGACUAACAAUUUAGCGAAGGCACCUUACAAGGACGGAUCUGACAGUGAGGGAUGAAGGCUAGGGGCGCAAAACGGAUUAGAUACCCCCGUAGUC
rnacentral:rRNA from 1 species